rnacentral:rRNA from 1 species
CAGAUUCACUUCGAUUCCUCCAACAAUGAGGCAGAAUAUGAGGCCCUCUUAUAUGGGUUGCGCAUGGCCAUUUCACUCGGCGUCCGUCGCCUGAUGGUCUAUGGCGACUCGGAUUUAGUGGUCAACCAAGUGAUGAAGGAGUGGGACGUGAGAAGCCCAGCCAUGACUGGAUACUGCAGUGCAGUGAGGAAGCUGGAAAAGAAGUUCGAGGGGUUGGAGCUCCAUCAUAUACCCCGACUGAAAAAUCAAGUAGCUGAUGAUCUAGCAAAGAUAGGUUCCAAGAGAGAAGCCAUUCCGAGUGGUGUGUUCUUGGAGCAUAUACACACU